rnacentral:rRNA from 1 species
AUUGAACGCUGGCGGCAUGCUUUACACAUGCAAGUCGAGCGGCAGCGCGGGGGCAACCCUGGCGGCGAGCGGCGAACGGGUGAGGAACACAUCGGAACGUGCCCCGGAGUGGGGGAGUAACGCCGCGAAAGCGGCGCUAAUACCGCAUAUGCUCUGGAGGAAGGAAAGCGGGGGACCAGCAAUGGCCUCGCGCUCUGGGAGCGGCCGAUGUCCGGAUUAGCAGUUGGUGGGGUAAUGGCCCGACCAAGGCGACGAUCGGUAGCUGGUCUGAGGAGGAUGAUCAGCCACACUGGGACUGAGACACGGCCCGAGACUCCUAC